UUUUUUUUUUCCCCUGCCCUUUGCUAAGUAGCACAGACUCUCCAGUGUGAGAGCAUUCUUGUGUGCACCAAUGAACCUGGCUGAGACUCCCUGUAUCUUUUCCGUAGAUGGUACUUUCCUGGAAGCAGAGUAAAUGGCUUAGCCACCAGGGCUAGCCUACAGAGGCAGGGGCAGCUUGGUUGUAACUUGAGGCUUCUGGGACCUGGCUGAAGGGGGCGCUGUUGGGGUGGCUGUCAUGGUGUCUAGCGCCUUAUCCCACCGAAUUCCCAGAAGGGUUUGCACAGAGAGCACCCAAAGUGAAGGGCUCUGUCUCCUCUCGUAGGUUCGGACGACAUUCCCAGGAUGAAAUCUCUAUCCUCGCCCCUCUAGCGCAGUGUUGCAUGUGAGUUUCUAUGCCGUGAGUACCACCAGCAGCGGGCAGUACACACAUCUCUGGUCUAGGAUACUGUGGACAGAGAUGAUGUGAACUGCCUAGCUUCCCAUACUGCAGCUACCGGCUUUCUCUAAGUGAUGUCUCCCUCAUCCUUUAU
rnacentral:lncRNA from 1 species